UAAAGUCUGAGUAAAACAUGUUGUUGGGCUGGUGUGUCAGUUAUGAUAUAAAGUCUGAGUAAAACAUGUUGUUGGGCUUGUGUGUCAGUUAUGAUAUAAAGUCUGAGUAAAACAUGUUGUUGGGCUUGUGUAUCAGUUAUGAUAUAAAGUCUGAGUAAAACAUGUUGUUGGGCUGGUGUGUCAGUUAUGAUAUAAAGUCUGAGUAAAACAUGUUGUUGGGCUUGUGUGUCAGUUAUGAUAUAAAGUCUGAGUAAAACAUGUUGUUGGGCUUGUGUAUCAGUUAUGAUAUAAAGUCUGAGUAAAACAUGUUGUUGGGCUGGUGUGUCAGUUAUGAUAUAAAGUCUGAGUAAAACAUGUUGUUGGGCUUGUGUGUCAGUUAUGAUAUAAAGUCUGAGUAAAACAUGUUGUUGGGCUUGUGUAUCAGGUAUCAGAAUUAUAGCCUGGCUCUCUCCAUCACACGUGCUCUGCAUUGGGUAGACUUCAAGG